rnacentral:misc_RNA from 1 species
GCUCGAAGAGCAUCCCAAAUCUCUGCCACACAGGAAAAUUGGUAUUUAUGUUGUGAAACUAAGCGUAUAAAAAAAUUCAAAGCAUAUUACGUACAUUUUCAUGGAAAUGCUAAGACAGCAAAUAAUUUGUUAUUAACAGUAAAAUUCAAGCCUGCUUCACUUUGCUUCACAUGAAAUCCAUGUCAGACUAAAUGGUGUGACAUAACAUAUAGGUUAUUUGGAACCAACUGGAACAAAUAAUUUCAUUUCCAUAUAAAUUUUACUAUAUUAAUGAAUUUUAUUUCUAACAAAAGAGAAAAGAAAAAAAAAAAGAAU